CACGUAGGGGGCAAGCGUUGUCCGGAUUUAUUGGGCGUAAAGAGCUCGUAGGCGGCUCGGUAAGUCGGGUGUGAAACCUCCAGGCUCAACCUGGAGACGCCACUCGAUACUGCCGUGGCUAGAGUCCGGUAGAGGAGCGUAGAAUUCCUGGUGUAGCGGUGAAAUGCGCAGAUAUCAGGAGGAAUACCAGCGGCGAAGGCGGCGCUCUGGGCCGGAACUGACGCUGAGGCGCGAAAGCCAGGGGAGCGAACGGG
rnacentral:rRNA from 1 species